AUGAAGCGGCUUCCCCACGGGCCCCCCUUCGCAGUGGCUGCUUCCUGGGCCACCAGGGCACCCCAGCGCCUUCAGGCUUCGUCAGGUGUGUUUGGAAGCUGGCCUGCUGGGGCCCUCCAUCCUAGGGCCUGUGUCAGCCACCAGCCCUGUGCACCCUGGAAGCACACAGGCUCUGGGAAAGAUAGCCCUGACCUUUGGUGUUCCAAGUCACGGUGUUCCCCAAGAAUUCUGGGCCGGCAGCCUGCUGGCGAAGACCCUAAGCCUUUCCCUGUGGGGCACCCAGGAGGGCCUAGCCGGCAUGUGCAGCCUGUGGGUGGCCGGCUGAUGUCCCCGCUGUGGUCAGGGUGCGUGACCUGGUGCCCAUCCACGCAGGUGUAUGGUGUAAACAUGUAUGUGCUGUACAGACGUGUGUGGAGAGAGCCGCGCACCAGGGCCACGGAGAGGCGGAGCAGUUACCAAUGUUUCGUAUUUAUUUUUAAUCAAGACGUUUCCCCUGUUUUCCUAUAAAUUUGCUUAGUGUAAGCAAGUACAUAAAGGCCCUCCUUUGGUGAAAUCUGGAUUCGAAUGAAUAUCUCAAGGCAGGAGAUGCAUCUGUUUUAAGAUGCUUUGGAGCAGACAGCUUUAGCCGUUCCCAAUCCUUAGCAAUGCCUUAGCUGGGACGCAUAGCUAAUACUUUAGAGAGGAUGACGGAUACAUAAGAGAGUAACGAUAGGAGAAAAUGUCUAAAGCAUCUGGAAAGGUAAAAAAAAAAAAAAUCUAUUUUUGUACAAAUGUAAUUUUAUCCCUCGUGUAUACUUGGAUGUGGCGGGGGGAGGGCUGGGACUGUUUUGUUUCUGCUUCUAGAGAUUGAUGUGAAAGCUUCUUCCGAGAGAUGCCAGGGCAGACGAUGGCAAAGGAGAGGGCCCCUGUGACAGCGGCGAGGCUUGGGAGGAAACCACCACCGGGGGCAUCUUCCUUGGGGAUGGGAGGGUGGGCCUGAGGCUUUCAAGGGUUUUCUUCCCUUUUUGAGUAAUUUUUAAAGCCUUGCUCUGUUGUGUCCUGUGGCCAGCCUUUCCGUGACUGUGACUGAAAUGGCUUCCCCAUACGAUUGUCUGAAACGUGGCAGCGGCAGGUGCCGGGGUCUGAUGGACAGUGGCAUAGAAUUGUGGAAAAGAAACACGCAAAAGGAGAAACAUGAGAGAAGAAACAAAAUAUGAGUGUUUAAAAUACAUCGCCAUUCAGUUC